rnacentral:rRNA from 1 species
UACGUAGGUGGCAAGCGUUGUCCGGGUUUAUUGGGUUUAAAGGGUGCGUAGGCGGCCCUGUAAGUCAGUGGUGAAAUACUCUAGCUUAACUAGAGGGGUGCCAAUGAUACUGCAGGGCUUGAGUACAGAUGAGGUAGGCGGAAUUGACGGUGUAGCGGUGAAAUGCAUAGAUAUCGUCAAGAACACCGAUAGCGAAGGCAGCUUACUGGGCUGUAACUGACGCUGAUGCGCGAAAGCCAGGGGAGCAAACGGG